rnacentral:tRNA from 1 species
GCUCUUGUGGUGCAAGGGGAAGAAUACUCGACUCUUAUUCGAGAGGUACGAGUUCGAAUCCCGGCGAGGGCA